rnacentral:rRNA from 1 species
GUACACUCCUGCGGGAGGCAGCAGUGGGGAAUAUUGGACAAUGGGCGCAAGCCUGAUCCAGCCAUGCCGCGUGAGUGAUGAAGGCCCUAGGGUUGUAAAGCUCUUUCACCGGUGAAGAUAAUGACGGUAACCGGAGAAGAAGCCCCGGCUAACUUCGUGCCAGCAGCCGCGGUAAUACGAAGGGGGCUAGCGUUGUUCGGAUUUACUGGGCGUAAAGCGCACGUAGGCGGACUAUUAAGUCAGGGGUGAAAUCCCGGGGCUCAACCCCGGAACUGCCUUUGAUACUGGUAGUCUUGAGUUCGAGAGAGGUGAGUGGAAUUCCGAGUGUAGAGGUGAAAUUCGUAGAUAUUCGGAGGAACACCAGUGGCGAAGGCGGCUCACUGGCUCGAUACUGACGCUGAGGUGCGAAAGCGUGGGGAGCAAACAGGAUUAGAGACCCCAGUAGUCCCAUGAU